UACAGAGGUCCCGAGCGUUGUUCGGAUUUACUGGGCGUAAAGGGCGUGUAGGCGGCCUGAGUAAGUCGGAUGUGAAAUCCCGCAGCCUAACUGCGGAACUGCAUUCGAUACUGCUUGGCUAGAAGACUGGAAGGGAGAUUGGAAUUCUCGGUGUAGCGGUGAAAUGCGUAGAUAUCGAGAGGAACACCAGUGGCGAAGGCGGAUCUCUGGACAGUUCUUGACGCUGAGGCGCGAAAGCCAGGGGA
rnacentral:rRNA from 1 species